rnacentral:snRNA from 1 species
GGAUGUGAGAGUUAUCUGGCUGCGACAUCUGUCAUCCCAUUGAUCGGCAGGGUUGACUCAGCUGAUCUGGCUGGCUAGGUGAGUGUCCCCUUCCUUCCUCACCGCUCCAUGUGUGUCCCUCCUGAAGCUCGGUUGAAGAGGAGACCAUCCCCGAUAGAGGAGGUCCAUUCUUCGUUCUUGGGUCAAAGGUAUACCAGCAGCUGUGUUCCCCUGCUAGAACCUCCAAACAAGCUCUCAAGGAUAUUAAAAAAACCAAAAAAACAAAAAACCACAACCUCUUUUUAUGUCCCUAUGGUGAGA